rnacentral:rRNA from 1 species
GGAAUAUUGGACAAUGGGCGCAAGCCUGAUCCAGCCAUGCCGCGUGUGUGAAGAAGGCCUUCGGGUUGUAAAGCACUUUUGUACAGGAAGAAAAGCGUCCGGUUAAUACCCGGGUGUCAUGACGGUACCGUAAGAAGAAGCACCGGCUAACUACGUGCCAGCAGCCGCGGUAAUACGUAGGGUGCAAGCGUUAAUCGGAAUUACUGGGCGUAAAGCGUACGCAGGCGGCUUUGCAAGACAGGUGUGAAAUCCCCGGGCCUAACCUGGGAACUGCAUUUGUGACUGCAUGGCUAGAGUCUGUCAGAGGGGGGUGGAAUUCCACGUGUAGCAGUGAAAUGCGUAGAGAUGUGGAAGAACACCGAUGGCGAAGGCAGCCCCCUGGGAUAAGACUGACGCUCAUGUACGAAAGCGUGGGGAGCAAAC